UAGAACUGAUUCAAGACAAUUAUAAAAUUCAUGAAAUCAUAAAUUUUCAUGAAAAUUGUAAAACUAGACGUAUACAUUACCUUCAAAAAAUUUUAAAAAAACCUAAGUUGUUUGAUAGAAUUAAUCGAAGAAAAAAUAAAAAAUCAUGAAACACAAAUGUGCAGAUUUAUUGAAAAAUUUCAUUACUGAAUGAUAAUUUUUAAUCUUACUCCAUCGAAUUCUUUUAUAUUAUUCAUUUAGGAACCAUGGAUUGUGAAUUCGUGAUGACAAAAGAAUCUAUGAAGAAACUAUGUCGAGAGCUAAAACUGUAUUCAAAUUGUCCAGAACUCAAUGAUGUAAUUCAUUUACACCAAAAGCUAUAUCCAAAUUGGAGGGUUUGGCACCUCUGAUAAAUCUUCAAUGUUUAUAUUUAAAUCAGAAUUGUAUAAGUCAAAUUGAAGGUUUGGAAACUCUACAGCAAUUGGAAAUUCUUGAUUUGGCUGACAAUCAAAUCAAAAAAGUGACGGGACUAAGCUGUUUGCCAUGUUUAAGACAACUUAACUUAUCAGGAAAUUUCAUAUGCCACGAAAGUGAUGUUAUCCACUUAUUGGAUUGCAAGAGUUUGAAAUCACUGGAUGUAUCAAACAAUAGAAUUGACAAUGAAAAAGCAUUAGAGGCUCUUAGAUCCAUUCCAUUGAAUUUGCUACGAUUAAUGAGCAAUAAAAUUCUUUCUAUUACUUGUAAUUAUCGAAAAAUGACUGUAGCAACAAUGUCAACGGUAGCACAUUCCGACUAAUGAUUUCGUAUGCUUUACUUCAAUUGUUUUGAAUGCUUAUUAUAUAUCCUUUUUUAAAAGUACAUAUAUAUAUAUAUAUAUAUAUAUAGAAAUAAAUCAUCAUGAAGUAUUAUUAAUGUUUUAAGUGAUAAAAUAUUCACUGAUUACAAGUGUAUCUCCAGUUAGUUUAUUUAGAUGAAAGUCCAAUAUUUGAAAAUGAAAGACGACUUGCCAUGGCAUGGAUGGUUGGAGGCAUAGAUGCCGAGAGGAAUAUGAGACUUACCAUAGCCAAUGAAGAAGCUGCAACUCGUGAUCAUCAUCGCAAAGAAUUUGAGGAUAUUAAAAUAAAAGCUAAAAGAGAACUAGCAGAAAAAUAUUUAUAGAGAAAAAAAAAUUCCCACAAGUUGAAAGAUUGGAAUUAGAAGUAGAAAUCAAAUCUUGACAAUGAAGUAAAAUGUAAAACAAAAUUCUAGUCUUCAGUUAUCUUUGAUAAAAUGAGACAAUGUGAAAGGAAAAUUAUGAACCAAAAAGAAUUUGACGAACGGAAUCUCAAAGGGAUCGUCAUAUCAAUUAAGUUAUAAAUAUUUUUAGAACUAUCACAAUAAUUACUCACUUGAUAGAUACAAGCAAGAGUUUAAUAGUUUUUGGUGAAAUCAUGAUAAUUGUAAAUAUCUUUAAGAAAUUCAUGAAUCAAUCACUGAGUGUUUUUAGAAAAAAAAAAGAAAAAAAGAAUUGAUUACCAGAUUUCACUAAUACAAAAAAAGUGUACCAACUUAUGUACAUUGUAUUGAAUUGAUAUAAUAAAAUUCAUAUAGCAUUUCCUGCAUUUGUUUUAACAUUCAAAUAGGUAUG